rnacentral:rRNA from 1 species
UAACACGCGGAUAAUCUGUCCUUAGGUGGAGGAUAAUCUCGGGAAACUGAGGAUAAUACUCCAUAGAUCUAGAAUGCUGGAAUGCAUCUAGAUUGAAAGCUCCGGCGCCUAAGGAUGAGUCUGCGGACUAUCAGGAUGUAGUCAGGGUAAAGACCUGACUAGCCUACGACGGAUACGGGUUGUGAGAGCAAUAACCCGGAGACGAUAUCUGAGACACGAUAUCGGGCCCUACGGGGCGCAGCAGGCGCGAAAACUUCACACUGUGCGAAAGCGCGAUGAGGGAAUCCCAAGUGUUUGCUCGUAAGAGUAAACUGUUUCUUUGUUUAAAACGCAGAGAGAGUAAGGGCUGGGUAAGACGGGUGCCAGCCGCCGCGGUAAUACCUGCAGCUCAAGUGGUGAUCAUUAUUAUUGGGCCUAAAACGUCCGUAGCCGGUUUAGUAAAUGCCUGGGUAAAUCGUGUAACUUAACUAUACNACUUCCGGGUAGACUGCUAAACUUGAGACCGGGAGAGGCUAGAGGUACUCCUGGGGUAGAGGUGAAAUUCUGUAAUCCUAGGGGGACCACCAGUGG